rnacentral:lncRNA from 1 species
UGUCAGUCUGUCUGGAUGGUGACUGUAUUACAUCCAGAGGUUCCUGUCAGUCUUUCUGGAUGGUGAUGUAUUACAUCCAGUCAGAGGUUCCUGUCUGGAUGGUGAUGUAUUACAUCCAAUCAGAGGUUUCUGUCUGGAUGGUGAUGUAUUACAUCCAGGUCAGAGGUUCCUGUCUGUCUGUCUGGAUGGUGACUGUAUUACAUCCAGUCAGAGGUUCCUGUCAGUCUGUCUGGAUGGUGACUGUAUUACAUCCAGAGGUUCCUGUCAGUCUGUCUGGAUGGUGAUGUAUUACAUCCAGUCAGAGGCACCUGUCAGUCUGUCUGGAUGGUGAUGUAUUACAUCCAGUCAGGUUCUUGUCAGUCUGUCUGGAGGGCGAUGUAUUGGACGUGUCACUAGUCCUUUUGAAGGACUUCCUGGCAGAAGAGGUUACUCGACCAGUCAGCAGCCGAUAUGCCAGUUAAUUAAUUGGUGAAAUUUUGCUAUAGGGGCAGGACUCCGUUGUAUACUGAUGGUCGUGAGCGCAGUCUAGCUG